rnacentral:tRNA from 1 species
AGGGAUUUAGCUGAGUGGUGCCACCGCCUGCCUUGCAAGCAGGAGGUCCUGAGUUCAAUAGUUCAAUCCCUG